rnacentral:rRNA from 1 species
UACGAAGGGGGCUAGCGUUGUUCGGAUUCAUUGGGCGUAAAGGGUGCGUAGGCGGCGGGGUAAGUCAGGUGUGAAAUCUCGAGGCUCAACCUCGAAACUGCACUUGAUACUGCCUUGCUCGAGUACUGGAGAGGAGAUUGGAAUUUACGGUGUAGCAGUGAAAUGCGUAGAUAUCGUAAGGAAGACCAGUGGCGAAGGCGAGUCUCUGGACAGUUACUGACACUGAGGCACGAAGGCCAGGGGAGCAAACGGG